GAUGAACGCUGGCGGCGUGCCUAAUACAUGCAAGUCGAGCGAACAGACGAGGAGCUUGCUCCUCUGACGUUAGCGGCGGACGGGUGAGUAACACGUGGAUAACCUCCCUAUAAGACUGGGAUAACUUCGGGAAACCGGAGCUAAUACCGGAUAAUAUAUUGAACCGCAUGGUUCAAUAGUGAAAGACGGUUUUGCUGUAACUUAUAGAUGGAUCCGCGCCGCAUUAGCUAGUUGGUAAGGUAACGGCUUACCAAGGCGACGAUGCGUAGCCGACCUGAGAGGGUGAUCGGCCACACUGGAACUGAGACACGGUCCAGACUCCUACGGGAGGCAGCAGUAGGGAAUCUUCCGCAAUGGGCGAAAGCCUGACGGAGCAACGCCGCGUGAGUGAUGAAGGUCUUCGGAUCGUAAAACUCUGUUAUUAGGGAAGAACAAAUGUGUAAGUAACUAUGCACGUCUUGACGGUACCUAAUCAGAAAGCCACGGCUAACUACGUG
rnacentral:rRNA from 1 species